UCAAAUUCCCAUUUGUUUUACAUAUUCAGCUUGCCUCUGGAUCUGAUUGGAUUAUUGAGUUGAAUGAAUCCUGAAGUUUUCGUUGGUUUUCAUUGGUAGGAUUCCAAAAUCGUAAUAUUCAGACGACAGGAAAAAUGGCUGCGUUUGCUGGAGAGCGAUGGCGAAGCGAGCUACCAAGUCAUGAUAUUUUUUUAUAAAUUACGAGAGGAACUCGAUUUGGAACCCAAAGCGAAUUGCAGAAGAACUGCAAAGAGUCUUACAUUUUACCUCAAUGGCGACUUAUUCUUGUCGGAUGACGCAGACAGUGUUUUUUACACGACAAACCUUAGGCAGCUCAAUUCAGAGGACAGCUUUGAGACUGAUAUACCAGUUCAGGUAGCCUCAGUAAGCCCAGUGGGCCCUUACCCAUGUACCCCGCGGCAGAGGAUAACUGUGCCGUGCUCUGCAUGCCCUGCGUGCCCAACAUCCUGGUCAUCGCCACGGAAACGGGCACACUGUAUCACUGCGGGGUGCUGGAAGCAGAGGAGGAAGAGACAGGAGCAGUGGAGAGGUGGAUGCGGGCUGGGAGGUGGUGCCCUCUCUCUAUGUGUUUGAGUGUGUGGAGCUGGAGCUCACCCUCAAACUGGCCGCUGGGGAUGAUGAGGCGCCUGUGGAGUCUGACUUCACCUGCCCAAUCAGACUGCACAGUGAUGAGGAGGACAAGGAUAGUCUUCAGGAGCUGGCUGCUGAACACUGCUGCGUCGUAGAGCACAUCCUCUGUACCAGGCCUCUUAGUAGAAGGGUCGGGAACCUUCCGCUAAAUUUCCGGAAGUUUUCCAUGGGAAGUUAAGCCUGGAAUUUUUGCUUAAAUUCAUCACUCAAAACCACUCAAGAACCUCCAGAAGCUAACCAGCUAACUAGCUACAAGCUAUUUAGUCAUUGUUAGUUUUUUUUAACCUGGAUAACACUCGCCAGGCCAGCUUCCCUGCCCCAUCCACCGCUGCCCCCUGGACACUGAUCUCUUGGCUACAUAGCUGAUGCACGCUGGACUGUCCAUUAAUCACGGAGUUCCAUCCGGCCUUCCUCUCCUCUCCUGCUGUGUUCCUACCCAGGGGUAGGCUCAGCUAGCACUCCUCUGUGUGGAUUGCACAACGACUACUUUGAGCAGCACAUUUGAAACAUCCUAGCCAAAAGCUCCACAAAUCCUCUCAUGCUGAGAGCAGGGGACAAGGACACAUCGUCCCCUCCUCCAGAGUGUCUCCAGCUGCUGAGCAGAGCCACUCAUGUGUUCAGAGAGGAGUACAUCCUCAAACAGGAUAUGGCCCACGAGGAGAUGCAGAGAAGGGUGAAAUUGCUGACAGGACAGAGGAACAAGCAGCUUGAGGACCUGGCCUUGUGCAGAGAGGAGAGGAAAAGACUGCAAGAGUCUGCAGAGCGUCUGGCUGGUGUUGGUGACAUCAUAUCCAUACCUCUUCAAUACUGAGCCCAAGGAAUGAGUCUUCUAAAGGUUCCGUUUCUGUCCUGUCUUCCUCGUUCUGCUCCUUGGCCUGGCUGAUCCUUUCCUUCUCAUCCUCCUCCUGAGGGAAACAAUGUCAAUAAAUGGACUACACUUUGACAGGGUGUGCGUACCUGGUCCCUCUUCUUAAUCUCUUCCACCUGCCGGAGCUGCUCAGAAGAGAGCACGUUCUCGAUCCUCUGCAUGUCCCUCAUCAGCAGCCUCUGUGACUCCAGGAACUGGUCGUUGGCCCGCUGCCAUGUGUGCUUCAGCUGGUUGUGCUGCUGCCGCUCCAGCUCCAAGAGGUGACACACUGACCAUGGAAGAAAAAACAUGACAGAGAUAUAUAUAGCAAGAGAUAGAUAGCGGGAAAAAAAGGGACAAUACUGUGCUGUACUUCUGUAUUGAAAUGUCUUACAUCUCUUAUCCUUAUGUUUGACAGUAUAAGAAAAUUUGAAAGAUAAAUACACUGCAGAGAGGACAAGAGGUCAUUAGAGUACGAGAGACAGAGGAUUAAAAGUCAAUAGAGUACUAAAGAUGAAUGGAAAUAUUGUUUUUUCUGUAAUAGGGGAUUAAUGGGAGGAAUUUGUCUAUACAGUGAGCCUGAAAUAGGAUACUUGUAUUUGGCCAUUGGCCCAGUUUUAUUGCAAGGAAUUCUAUUUGGUCAACCACAGGCUAGGGCUGGGUUAUAAAACUACAUGCUGUCCCUUUGUUCUGUGGGGAGAAUCACUGGAGAGCAUCACUGAGGACAGGGGAGAAUGACCAUCUACUUCCAAACAUGAUUUGUCCUACUUGAAUAAACCUAUUUUCCUCCCCUUGA